rnacentral:misc_RNA from 1 species
GAUGAAGAACGUAGCGAAAUGCGAUAAGUAAUGUGAAUUGCAGAAUUCAGUGAAUCAUCGAAUCUUUGAACGCACAUUGCGCCCGCCAGCAUUCUGGCGGGCAUGCCUGUUCGAGCGUCAUUUCAACCCUCGAGCCCCCCCGGGGGCCUCGGUGUUGGGGGACGGCACACCAGCCGCCCCCGAAAUGCAGUGGCGACCCCGCCGCAGCCUCCCCUGCGUAGUAGCACACACCUCGCACCGGAGCGCGGAGGCGGUCACGCCGUAAAACGCCCAACUUUCUUAGAGUUGACCUCGGAUCAGGUAGGAAUACCCGCUGAACUUGAGCAUAUCAAUAGCGGAGGA